UACGAAGGGGGGCUAGCGUUGUUCGGAAUCACUGGGCGUAAAGCGCACGUAGGCGGAUGUGCCAGUCAGGGGUGAAGUCCCGGAGCUCAACUCCGGAACUGCCUCUGAUACAGCACGUCUUGAGUUCGAGAGAGGUGGGUGGAAUUCCUAGUGUAGAGGUGAAAUUCGUAGAUAUUAGGAAGAACACCGGUGGCGAAGGCGGCCCACUGGCUCGAUACUGACGCUGAGGUGCGAAAGCGUGGGGAGCAAACAGG
rnacentral:rRNA from 1 species